rnacentral:tRNA from 1 species
ACUGAAGUGGUGGAAUUGGUAGACACGCUACCUUGAGGGGGUAGUGAAUUAACAUUCUUGGGAGUUCAAGUCUCCUCUUCAGUA